rnacentral:rRNA from 1 species
GUGCCAGCAGCCGCGGUAAUACGGGGGGGGCAAGCGUUGUUCGGAAUUACUGGGCGUAAAGGGCGCGUAGGCGGUUUGCUAAGUUGGAUGUGAAAACUCUGGGCUUAACCCAGAGCCUGCAUCCAAAACUGGCAAACUUGAGUACUGGAGGGGAAAGCGGAAUUCCUGGUGUAGCGGUGAAAUGCGUAGAUAUCAGGAGGAACACCGGUGGCGAAGGCGGCUUUCUGGACAGUAACUGACGCUGAGGCGCGAAAGCUAGGGGAGCAAACAGGAUUAGAUACCCUGGUAGUCC